AAGAGCAAGUAACGUCUAAAUUAACUUUUUUUUGCUGAUGAACUGUAUAAAUGAGUGUCUAAUAGUGUUUUAAAUGUGUGCAUUCUUUAUUUUAGCAUUUUGGUGCAUUUUCUUUAAAAAUUAAAAAUUCUGUCUAAAAACCACAGUAAUGCGCCACCUUCAGCUGAAAACAUAGAAUUUGAGUCAUUUUGAAUAAAUUUUAGCCAAUGGCUAAAGAGUAAAGUACUACGUAAACCAGUAGAGUACUACGUAGCAGCUCCGUGCCAAAGUUAUAAAAGCAACGAGAGUCUCGGCCACGCCCUGUGGCGCGUGGGAGUUGGAUUUGCAAGCGAGCGUAGGAGGUCAGCGGUAGUUCAGCAUUAGCAUAUAGCAUUAGCAUAUCCUAGUCUUAGCAUAUCUUUUAGUGUUAUAAAUACUUAUUUAGUGUUAGCUUGGCUGUUGGAUAUUGUAGUUUAGUUAGUGUUUGGCUGUUAGUGUAAUUGGGAAAGUAUUUCGGGUUUAGUGUUCAUAUCGUCUUAGUAUUGGUGAGAUGGUGUAAUGUAGUAUGCUUGCGGUGACUCUGUGGGCAUUUUACCCGCGAUUCUGCACGUCUCCGUUUGAAGAGGGAGGCUGCCCACCGUGGCUCUUCCGCGAUUUAGAUGCAGCCCACCGACUCUGCUCCCCCACCACGGCGGGCUCCAGUCUGAGGUGAGUCAGCUAAAUAAACGUUUUAACAUCUUCUAAAGACAAUUCCCUACCUAAAUGCAAAGUCUGAGAGACGUGGUUCACUUCCUUUAGCUAGUCAGUCGGCAAUUCUGCAACAGUGGCUCUAACUGACGCAGCACUAGUUGACAGACAGCAUUACAGCGUGAAAUCCAGCUUGUGACCCGGUUCUGUGAGGAAUUCUGUUCAGGAGGUCGCAUUUCAGGCUCUCCACAUCAUGUGUGACUGACUUUUACGUUAUAACAACGAUCACACACUAGGAAUGUUAUAAAGCGCCUAUAUAGGAGAUUCUUUUGUAUGUUAUCUGACUUUAUAAACUCCCAACAACAAUGUGCUUCUAUUUUUUUUUUCAGGCUAAAUCUACCCAAGACACUGGCUGUCAGACUGAUUUAGCUGCAAGAAUGCACUUGUCCAGGCUGAUGUGAAGCCUUCCCUGUAGCAAAGCCAGCCAGAAUGGAGUUCACAGCCGCAGUGUGUCUGGUGACCCACAGGGACCAUGAUGAAAAUUCAUCUUCCAGAAGGUCCCAGAGCGUCCAGACCUCCUGAAAAGACCAAGAUGUAAGGUGUCUGCUGUUGAUUCCAGCUUCCACCUCAGUGACAGUGCAAGCUCAGUGAACUGUUCAAGGACACUCAGCAAAAUAUGGACUCUACACCAUGAGGCAUGCACACAUUAAUACUCUAUAAGAGCACAUAAGGUGAGCAACACCACAUAUUGUACACUGUCCUGAAUUUGUUUUCUUUCUGCAUCUCAUUAGCCUGGCUGAUCACCUGAUAACUCCUGUCAUCUGGUUAUGACAGCAUGAGGAUGUCCUCACACACCUGUAACCUAUCAGCUCAUCCUGCUGAAUAGAGAGAGAAGAGACAACACCACAUCUCCUGUUCCUGGAAAGCCUUCAGCCAUCCUUCGAUGACUGAGAACCUCCAUCAGCUCUGUCUCCUGUCUGCCUACAAUUAUUAUAAUAAAUAUUGUGUUUGACAA